rnacentral:tRNA from 1 species
GGCGGGGUGGCAGAGUGGUUAUGCAGCGGCCUGCAAAGCCGUGUACGGCGGUUCGAUUCCGCCCUUCGCCUCCA